CUCCGCCCGACUUCCGGCGUCUCCUCCCGACCUCCGGCGGUGUCUGACUGCGCUUCUGGCCGUGCUCUCCUGGUCGUGCUUUCUCUGUCCCCGGCCUGCCCUGUUUUCUCGCUCACUGAAGCCGCAGCCCCAGAACUGAUCUCCAGUGAGAAGAUAAAUCCUCUUAGAAGACAACGUGUCAGUCUGCUUAGUUAAGACAGGGCUUCUGAGUUCUGAAGUCUUGCCCAUGUGUAGCUAGAACAGAGCCAAGACUAUGCACUAUCUCUGAAGGCUAAGGACACAAUUUCAUCCCAAGAGAGGGAAGAAUAUUAUUCCGAAGAGCCUAUUACUGUUUCUGUCUGUUCUUCGUUAAGUGUGGCAGGAUAAUAUUAACAGGUUGCCUCCUCCAGCCACUGUCCUCUUCUCUCGAUGUUUUUGUGCAUUACUCCACCCCAAAUGAGCAGCCAGGCAUUCUGUGCUUAUUGCUUUAAGGGAAGAUGUGACAGCAAAGAAAGCGUCCUUCCUGGCUUUGGUGUUGCAAAAGGCUUGGCUUUACAGGAACAAAAAAGACUCCUGGCAGAGCAAGAGAUUUGGAUAAAACAUGUUUUGUAAGAGCCUGGCUUUCUACUCGCAGAAAAAACUAAAACAAACCCAUCUCCUGUGCUGGGGACCAAGGAGGCUGUGAGUGGUACAGGCAAGAGAGAAGGAGGGGGGCAGUGGGGGCCGGUCUCCACUGUCCCCGAGAUAGGGAGUCUGAACGAAGCUCCCCAGUCCCAUCCUUGGGACACUGCAGACCUCCAUAUUUGGGUUUGUGAGAUCCAAGAGCAGGAGGAAGGUGUGCCCAGAGACCUGAGCACCGCCCAGGAAGGCAGUGGGCCCAGAGAGAGAAUAUGGACUCAUGGGACGCCUGGUGUGAGUAGGUAGGUGGCAACUAGAUGGACUCUCAAAGACCUUCUGUGCCCUAACGUGGAAUGCGAGCAAAACGGUAUCCCUGUAUAUCCAGGUGUGCCGUGGAAGAAGAAAGACACGUCCACACUUCAAGGGAGCUUGCAGGAGGGAACUCUGAGCCCAACAGAGGCUGGGGAAACUGAUGACUGCAUUAAGAUGCUGUGUUUCUCGCUGGAUGCCCAUGUAGACAGAUGGCAUUGGAAACCAGAGGCUCCCAGCCUAAACACUCGUCACCAAACUAGACAUUCUCAAAUUUAGAUCCAGCUGCGGGGUUGGUGGGAGAUACCAGGAAUUGGCAGAGAUUAUGGUAUCACCAACCGUUUGGAAGAGGCAAUUCAAAACUGAACUUACUUAAGGUGAGUUAUAGAAAAAUAAACUUGUGUUUGUACCUUCACAUGGGAAUAGGCUGGGAUAAGGACCCAGACCAGUUUGAAGUAACAUCCAACCCCACUGUCAAAGGUAAGAAAUGAGGAAGGACACCAGGGACUGGGGAGAAAGCUUCAGGACCUUAGAUGUUAAGAGUCAGCCUCUGACAGCAAAGUGGGAACUCGGGGAAGAGGUCCACAUGCAGCUCUCUAAGGAGACAACAUGACUCUGCUCCUAGAAGGAGCGCUGGUGUGGAUGAGGUGGCAAGGUGUUGGAGAAGGUCCUCAGUAAGGACCCCUGCUCUGAGCCGCUCAGAGAAACGGCUGCUUCCAGUGCAAGGUCAAUCGUUAAACAUUAGAGUGGAAAGGCAGCACGCAGGCUCUGCCUGCUAGAUGUGUGACUCUCUAAGGAUAAUUGUAGGUCUUCCAGGUGGGAACAUUGAACCAACGGAAGACAGCAGAUGCCACCAGGGGACAGCAGAGUCUCUGCCAUGAGCAGAAAUCAUCCCACAGACAGAAAUGGUGCCAUGCGCUCUGGGCCUGAGGACCCCCAUGUGACAAGAUCCAUCCUCCAGGAGCUGGUGGGGAUGCAACAAAAAAGGGUAUUGAAGACCGGUGCACAGUGACACCAGUAAGAAGGUUUGUGUCUACUCCUUUCCUGAGGAGUAAUAAGAUUCAUUCUAAGUGUUUUCCAUUGCAAAAUGUGUAUUUCUCUGAUAGACCAAAACCAAUGAUACACUAAUGUGAACCCAAAAAACCACUGUUGAAAUCCUUAGUAUUCCUUCUUUCUGAAGAAAAAUGUUCACAUUCAUCUACAAGGACUUCCUCAAAAUGGAUUUUAUAAUUAUCACAAACAGAAAUAAUACCAACACCUACUGCUCAUUGCUGUGUGCCAGCCUCUGUGCUGAGUGCUUUACAUAAUUAAUGUUAUUUAAUCCUCAACAUAACUCUGUGUCAUAGGUGAUCUUAACAUCCUAUUUUACUUACCAGGCAAAUAAGUGCUAGCGAGGUCACGAAAGUUGCCUGAUGUGGCCUGCUAAGCCAAUUCACUGUGUACUAGAAAGAUGGAACCUGACACUGUAUCUUUAAACCUAUAAGAUUUAAACACUGUGUAAGAAACUCCAAGAUAUUUAAAGGGCCCCGAGCUCCUUGUGACAUCAGCACUGGACUUGGUUUAUCCUUCUAUAACUUGGCUUUGACCUGGCAUCUUAAACAGUUUAGGCUUCUAUACCUUUUGUAAGUCAUUAUCUAUAGAAUGUGAACCGAGGCAAAUAAAACACUUUUCCAUAGAAAAAGAAAACAAUAAUAAAAUUUCCUCCUAAUCACUUCGCAGAGAGAUUAGAGAGUUGGUGCCAGUCUUCUAGCGUCUCCAUGAAUUUCCCUAAUUCGGGGCAGAGAUUGAAGGCAAAAGAAACUAAUAGACAUGCAAGUAACAAAUCCUGGUGACUGACUGAAGGGUUACCCUAAGUAGGAGCAUCUAUAUAGAGAAGGUCUGUUAGGACCUUUUGAUUGACAGAGACUUUUGUGAUAUGUUGAGGAUUUAGAAUUAUCUCUAAAGAGGCAACGUAGGAUUUUUAGCAGGGUUAACAUUAAAAGAUUUGCAUUUUUAAAGAUUACUCCGGUUCUAGCAUGGAGAACAAAAUCAAAGGAGCCCCAACAGAUGGAAGGAGGGCUGUGCACCACUUAGUAGUGGUGAGAGGUGACUAGCUUGUGCAACGAUGCUGAUAGUAAAGAUGGAUAAAAAUUGAUAGAUGAGAAAGCCAAAUGGGGAGGGAGGUGUGAAAUCAACAGUUCCAAGCAAUGGAUUGGAUAUGGGAUGUGACAGAAAAUGGAUAAAGGACAGACCACACCUGGAUAUGGGAAGGCUAUUUGCGAUUUAUGGUGGGAAACUGGAAGAAGAUAAUAUUUGAGUGGAAUAUCCUAAGUCUGGUCUUGGAUACGUUGAGUUUGAGGUACCCUUGAGACAUUCGAGUGGGGAUGUUGAAUAGUUAAUUGGAUAUAUCAUGGGGGGAGGUCUAAGAUCAAGAUGGAAAUUUAGGGGUCAUUAGUAUACGGGUGACAAUUUCAUGGGGACAGGUGUGAUUUCGGGGGGAACAGAGCAGAGGGUGAGUAGAGAAGAGGUCCCAGGGCAGAGCCUUGAGGAACCACAACAUUUAAAGGCCCAGGAGAGAAGGAUAUGUCUGAAAUGAAGGCAGAGAAGAAAAGUCGGAAACACAGCAAGGAAAGAAUGUGGUGUCUGGGAGCUCCCUGGCAGUCCAGUGGUUAGCACUCCGCACUGUCACUGCUAAGAGCCUGGGUUCAGUCCCUGGUCGGGGAACUAAGAUCCCACAAGCUGUGCAGCGCAGCCAAAAAAAACCAAUGCGGUAUCAUGGAAAGAAAGAAUGUUUCAAGGAGAAAGUGAAAAACAGGUUGACAGGUAAAUGUGGGAGGUCAAGUAAAAAGAGGACUGAAAACAUCCACUGAAUAUAGUGACCACGGAGGUCUCUGAUGACCUCGCUCUGGCAUUAAUAAUCAAUGGUAUUACAUCUCUAGUGGAAUAAUUCAUGGUAGUAACAUUUAUUCCCAAUAAUCUUAACAUUAGUUUUAAUGUCCUUAAACUUACUGAAAAUGAUAAGUACAGUAUAGAAUUCCUGUGAACAUUUAAAUGUCUUUGGAAAAAGAGGGUUUUUUUCCCACAGCAUGAUCCAGUUCCUUUGGCAGAAUGAUUUGUGGGAAUUAAAAGAACUAACAUUGCUGAAUAUCUGCUGUGUGCCUGAUGCUUUCACAUGCCUUGUAAGCAUCGUCUGCAUCCUAGCGUCCAUGUCAACCAUUGUAGAUCAACACUGAUGGCUGGUGGUGACAGUCUGAAGUUCAAAAAGGUGAGUUGUCACAUGGAAGGUUUUGAGUCCUCUUUCCUAUACCACAUCCCACCAAAGUUGUUGUGUCCAAAACUGAACUCUCAUCUGCAAGUCCCCACACUCAAAUUACGUUCUCCUCGUGUCAUACCUUCUCUAUUUUUUAACAAGUAUCAUGGGCUAGAAAUAUUUAAGCUCUCACUCUGCAGAAGCAGAAAGCGUCUGGCAGGCAGCCGGUCCUCAGAAAUGUUCAUUGUCACAAUCUGUCCGUUUCUCUUUAUAACAUUCUCAAAGCCACCUCCCUCCUGUUCAGGAGCUUUCACACUGAGAUGGAAUUGUCAUUGAUGGGUCUGCCAUCUCUAGGUUCCCCCCUAGUUUAUAAGAGGAGCAUUCAAUAACAUGAUGGAUGGCGUUCCUGAUGAUACCAAAACACAGACUCUACUACUCCCCAAGGCUUUUUCUUGUAUUGACCCUCAAAAACAAGUAUACAGGGGCUUCCCUGGUGGCACAGUGGUUGGGAGUCCGCCUGCCGAUGCAGGGGACACGGGUUCGCACGGGUUUGUGCCCCGGUCCGGGAAGAUCCCACAUGCUGCGGAGCGGCUGGGCCUGUGAGCCAUGGCUGCUGAGCCUGUGCGUCUGGAGCCUGUGCUCCGCAAUGGGAGAGGCCCACGUACCGCAAAAAAAAAAAAAAACAAGUAUACAAAGGAACAUAUUGUUAAGUCAUUUUUACAGGUGGCCAGAAUAGUACUGUCUAUUGAGGGGUAUAGAUUUCUAGAAUUCAAAUUCGAAGGAUGGCUAUGUUUAGCGAAACCAGGGCUUAGUGCUUAUCAUGUUCUUUUUGCAAUUCCUGCUGACGGUUAUGUGGUAUCAACUAGGCUUUUAACAGGCUCUGAAUUGUGGCUCCAUCAUUGAGAUGACAAGUGACAAUGUGAAAUGAAGGAUUUCUAUGCUGUUGAUAGGAGAGUCAUUCGAGUGCCCUGGAUAGCAGACCAGUGUGAAGCAGAGAAAUGAGCUUGUAUUUUUGCCCACAGAAAGGAAUAUCUCACCUUGCUAAGAAGAAAGGUUUCAGAGAGGGUUAUGGCUUUCCUCAAAUCGCAACAAUGGAUCUAUUUAAGUCCUGGAACUCUGCUGGUUGCCCCAGAAAUCUGUACUACAAAGCAUCAUCCAAAAAAAAAAAGUCAACCUUGACUGUAAAAGCGGUGAGGCUGGUGGUUGAAUCCUUUUUCACAGAGGAGGAAACCAGGUAGAAGAAGCUAAAGAAUACGUCCCAAGGCUAUGUUGUCAGAACUGGCAGGCCGUGAAACAUGCUGGCUAGGUCAGCAAGAGCAUUGCUCUUUCUCUAUCUCGAUGUUUGGGAACAUCUGCCAAUAAAACGGUUUUGUUUUUAUCAUUAGUGAUGAUAGUUUUAUCAUUGUUGCUUUUGAGAAAAAAUUAGCCAGCCGGUUCAGCUGCUUCUUGAGUAUUCCCUUAAAAGUGACCACUGGACCAUGCUGUUGGAAGGAGGCUGUGUGUUCAGGUCAUUAAAAAAUAACAAAUCUUGGACUUCCCUGGUGGCACAGUGGUUAAGAAUCCUCCUGCCAAUGCAGGGGACACGGGUUUGAGCCCUGGUCCAGGAAGAUCCCAUAUGCCACAGAGCGACUAAGCCCAUGUGCCACAACUACUGAGCCUGCGUUCUAGAGCCCACGAGCCACAACUACUGAGCCCGUGAGCCACAAUUACUGAGCCCACGUUCCACAACUACUGAAGCCCACGCACCUAGGGCCCGUGCUCCGCAACAAGAGAAGCCACCACAAUGAGAAGCCCGCGCACUGCAACAGAGAGUAGCCCCUGCUUACCGCAACUAGAGAAAGCCCACACACAUCAAUGAAGAUCCGAUGCAGCCAAAAAUAAAUAAAUAAAAUUUAAAUAAGAAAAUAAAUCUUUUAAGCUUCAAAUGGAGAAUUUAGAUCAUAAUUAUUUAGUACACGGUUGAAUUGGAAUGGGAUCUAGGAAAACAGAAUUUCUCUGUACUCAGAUUCUUGAGACAUGCUGGAUGAGGACUCUGUUCAUUUCAGUUUACUUUUAUAUCUAGGAAAAUACUCAGAUACGAUAAAGUGAUAAUACUUGCUGAAGUAUUUCCAUUAGUAGUAUAACAUCUACUGAGAAAAACUGUCUUUAUUCAGCUGACAUAACUGAGUACCUGAUACCUGCCAGGCCUGACAUAUAGUUAUAAGGAGAAAUAGACUUGCUGUUUUUAAGGAGUUCACUGUUUUACAAAAGAGACAGAUCAUUAUAAUAUAUGUAUAAUUUGUGUAUAAUAAUGCGUAUACAUAAUAACAUGUAUAAUACUCAAGACGUGGGAAAAGAAUGGGAGAUUCAACUUUGGAGAUCUCUAACAAUUUUAUAGGGGAGACACCAUUUGAUCUAAGUCUUCGUAAAUUCCAGAAAAUACUUCACCAGCAGACACCUGUUAAUAUUAUACAUAUAGCAUGGUCUAAAAACUGUUUAAGAAAUUAAAAAUUAAAAACCAGCGAAAGAAAAGCUGUUAUUCCCAAAGUAUGGGGGAGAACAAGAUGGAAUGUUAAUAGUAGAACAUCUGAUAAGAAUGAGACCUAGAUUCUCAGUAUAUUGAGGAAAAAGGUAGUGUGCAUCCUGAUGGUGUAAGUACAUGAAAGUCAAAUAGAAAAAGAACUCCCCAUGUAUUCACAGUUCAUCCAGAUUUGCUCCAAACUCAGAACUGUAAGCAAAACUCGACUAUAAAUAAAUAAAUAAUUCUAGAGUAUGUUCAGUGUUUUCAUUCCUUAUUCAAAAUCUAAGAAUGUUUGAGAGACGCUUAAAUGACACAUAUUAUCUACCCAAAACUUUCAAUUGCUCAAAGACAAACUCAUGAGACAUUUUCAUUUGUAUAUGGAAAACGUUUCCUUCUAGUCAUGUUGUUUGCCUAAGUAGAAUUUUUUUUAUAAUUAAUUUUUAUUUGAGUAUAGUUGAUUUACAGUGUUGUGUUAGUUUCAGGUGUACCCCACAGUGAAUCAGUUUUACGUAUACAUAGAUCACUCUUUUCUAGAUUCUUUUCCCAUAGAGGUCAUUACAAAGGAUUGAGUAGAGUUUCCUGUGCUCUACAGCAGGUCCCUAUUAGUUCCCUAUUUUAUGUAUACAGUGUGUCCAUAACAAUGGACACAAUCUCCCAGUUUAUCCCUCCCCACCCUUAUUCCAUAACCAUAAGCUUGUUUUCUGCAUCUGUGGCUCUGUUUCUAUUUUGUAAAUAAAUUCGUUUGUAUCA